rnacentral:lncRNA from 1 species
CUCUGUGGAAGUGCUCUUCAACUGCCUCCGCCAUAUUGUCAUUGAUUAAUUCUGUCAUGUUGAAUGUAUUUUUGCAGGUGUGACUUGCAUGGGAAAUCCUGUUUCACCCUGGGGAUGCAAGCAGACAGUUUGUCAUUGCCAGGGAGAAAACGUGGCUGCGGAUGAACCACCAGGAGGACAGAUGGACACGUGCAGCCAGUGGCCAGACAGAAAUUUCAAGCAACAGUUCUUGGAAACCAUAUGGGGAUCAGCCUGGGAGUUCUGCAAGCACAGCUUCUGCUGCUUGGCUUUGCCUGGAGGAAGACACUGGAUCCCAAAGGGUUACCCGUGUGCAGAAGUGAUGCUUUUGUUCAAAUUCUUGAC